AACAAAAUGUUGAUAGAAGAAAGUAGAAAAUUGAACGUUUCACAGAGAGGGAUUUCUUGGCUGAGAUAAAUCCUAACAAUCAAUGCUCGAAAGCUACUUCUGGAGUACAGUUAAAGUCUGUCGGUUUUCGCCGUUAUCUGUUUCAAAGAGUUGUUUUUUUAGUUUACUUAAAAAACAAAAUUAAGGUGGUACCGCGUUCAAUACGUCCUUAUA
rnacentral:ncRNA from 1 species